AUACGGAAGAUCCAAGCGUUAUCCGGAUUUAUUGGGUUUAAAGGGAGCGUAGGCGGAAGUUCAAGUCAGUUGUGAAAGUCUGUGGCUUAACCAUAGAAUUGUAGUUGAAACUGAAUUUCUUGAGUGUAGAUAAGGAUGGUGGAAUUUGUGGUGUAGCGGUGAAAUGCAUAGAUAUCACGAAGAACUCCAAUUGCGAAGGCAGCCAUCCGGGCUACAACUGACACUGAGGCUCGAAAGUGUGGGUAUC
rnacentral:rRNA from 1 species